UACGGGGGGGGCAAGCGUUGUUCGGAAUCACUGGGCGUAAAGCGCACGUAGGCGGCUUUUUAAGUCAGAGGUGAAAUCCUGGAGCUCAACUCCAGAACUGCCUUUGAUACUGGAGAGCUUGAGUCCGGGAGAGGUGAGUGGAACUGCGAGUGUAGAGGUGAAAUUCGUAGAUAUUCGCAAGAACACCAGUGGCGAAGGCGGCUCACUGGCCCGGUACUGACGCUGAGGUGCGAAAGCGUGGGGAGCAAACAGG
rnacentral:rRNA from 1 species